UGUCACUGGUUUUCAGUUUCAACUUUCUGUCACUGUUUUGGCGUAGGGAGGAGGGGCCUGAGGGGAGGGACAAAGGGGCGUGGUGUACAGGUAAUUUGCAUAGGCUACUGGGAGAGACCGCAGCUCCACAGGCAUCCUCACAGAUUACCCAUAUCUGCAAUGGCUUCCACAAGUUCACCUGGAACCUCCAAAUCUCAAGAUAUACAAGAUCUUUUCUUGGAGGGGGACCGUGACAGAAGAGUCUGCCAGUGGAGUACUUUUACCACCCAUCCAGUGCCCUCUGAGGCCGCAGACUGUGGCAGAACUAUGUGAUUCUUUACACAUAAACAUGGCAGGACAACACAGGAAAAACAUUUUGUUUGUUAUUUUAAAAUGACAAAUACCACUACUACUUUAUAUGUAGUACUGAUUUUAAUCCUUAACAAUUUUUGAAAUGACAUGCAUUUACAGUAUGGGCUCCAGCAAAACAGUUAAAUCUGUACCUUUUCAGUGAAUAACAAAUAAAUAUAUUCAAGUAAGAA